rnacentral:rRNA from 1 species
UACGUAGGGUGCGAGCGUUAAUCGGAAUUACUGGGCGUAAAGCGUGCGCAGGCGGCGUUGCAAGACAGAUGUGAAAUCCCCGGGCUCAACCUGGGAACUGCAUUUGUGACUGCAAGGCUAGAGUACGGCAGAGGGGGAUGGAAUUCCGCGUGUAGCAGUGAAAUGCGUAGAUAUGCGGAGGAACACCAAUGGCGAAGGCAAUCCCCUGGGCCUGUACUGACGCUCAUGCACGAAAGCGUGGGGAGCAAACAGG